rnacentral:rRNA from 1 species
UUCGAUUGACUGAGUGGCGGACGGGUGAGUAACGCGUGGGUGAUCUGCCUCACACAGGGGGAUAACAGUUAGAAAUGACUGCUAAUACCGCAUAAGCGCACAGGGCUGCAUGGCUCAGUGUGAAAAGCUCCGGCGGUGUGAGAUGAGCCCGCGUCUGAUUAGGUAGUUGGCAGGGCAACGGCCUACCAAGGCGACGAUCAGUAGCCGACCUGAGAGGGUGACCGGCCACAUUUGGACUGAGACACGGCCCAAACUCC